rnacentral:Y_RNA from 1 species
CGCUGGUCCGAUGGCAGUGGGUUAUCAGAACUUAUUAACAUUAGUGUCACUAAAGUUGGUAUACCACCCCCCCACUGCUAAAUUUGACUGGCUUUG